AGGAACACAGAUCCAUCUGGAUCUCACAAAAAGUAGGACCAUAUCAAUAAUAUUUUAUUUUCCAAAUAUGCCUCGGCCCGCUAGGCAGAGUGUGUGGACCCUGGAAGAAAAGAGAUAAGGGCAAGA
rnacentral:lncRNA from 1 species